GACAGGUGUAAAAGGAAUAAGGUAGAACACUUUAUCUCUGUCCACUUUUUCAGUAACUUAUAUCAGUGAUGAUGUCAUGAAGAAAUCGGAUCCCUGUAUGGGUGCAAUGCACGCAAUAUACAGUAUUUCAUACAUUUGUGUAUUACUGUGCUCUCCCAGAAUGCCACUUACUGUCACUUCAGUACCGUCGGCCAGUGCAUAGUCAAACUGGACGCCCAGGGUGAAGUCGAUGUCUUUGGUGCGGAAGGUGCUGGACUCUUUGAUGUGGAACUUGUCUCCAGUCUGCUCGAUGGUGAUCUUCAGGUUGUCGUGCUCUGCUAGUUUCCUCUUCAUGAUGUUGACGCCUGGUGGGAAACCACAUCAGGACAACAGGUGAGCAAGUUGAUUUUCAUGUUUAGUUAGUGUUGAUAUGUUGAUACACAUCCUCCACAAUAUGCUUGUUGUGUUGAUGGAUUUCACGCUAUUAAAUUGCUUAAAACAUAUAUUUUCUUGCAGUAGCCUUUUAUAAAAGGAUAUCCCUGGAGGUAUGACUGCUCUUGAGUGAUAGGUACACAAUGUACUUUCCAGCGGGCUCUCCAGUACAGCAAUGAGCCUGGGUUGUUGAACUCUGUUGCACAACACUUUGUCAAGAGACCUUUGUUUUUUUGGGUGGAGUUCAACAGGUGAUCACAGUGAGGAUGUUUGUCAUAGUGAGCACACAGUCAACACAACCUCCCUGGCAAUAGUAUCAUCGUAUUCAUGGUUGCAGAUAAUGAUUCUCCUCAAUAA